GAGAUGAAUUCCAUCCAUAUGAGACCGUUUUCAUCGCACGGAAAUGCUCAUCAUGGUACUCGAAACUUGAAUUUUGGUGCUGGAUAUGCUCCACGGCUUUCUGGGGGUGGCAGGUUCUUGGAAAAUGGAAGCUCAAUUGAAGAUUCUCGCUUCUUUGGUGAGCAACCCCCUCUUCCUGCUUCUCCACCACCGCCUAUGCCUUGGGAAGCACACUUGCACGGUUCAGCAGAGUCUAUGGCCUAUUCUUCUCAAGCAAAACCUUCAUCCCUGUUUCCUGUUCCUGUUAGUACCUUAACAAU
rnacentral:misc_RNA from 1 species